UAGAGUUUGAUCCUGGCUCAGGAUGAACGCUGGCUACAGGCUUAACACAUGCAAGUCGAGGGGCAGCAUGGGGUUUGCUUGCAAACCCCGAUGGCGACCGGCGCACGGGUGAGUAACGCGUAUCCAACCUUCCCGCGACUCGGGUAUAACCUGCCGAAAGGCAGACUAAUCCCCGAUGUCCUCCACUUUGGACAUCUUUGGUGGAGCAAAGGCUUCGGCCGGUUGCGGAUGGGGAUGCGUCCGAUUAGCUUGUUGGCGGGGCAAUGGCCCACCAAGGCUUCGAUCGGUAGGGGUUCUGAGAGGAAGGUCCCCCACAUUGGAACUGAGACACGGUCCAAACUCCUACGGGAGGCAGCAGUGAGGAAUAUUGGUCAAUGGGCGGAAGCCUGAACCAGCCAAGUAGCGUGCAGGAUGACGGCCCUAUGGGUUGUAAACUGCUUUUAUGCGGGGAUAACCGGGGCCACGCGUGGCCCCCUGCAGGUACCGCAUGAAUAAGGACCGGCUAAUUCCGUGCCAGCAGCCGCGGUAAUACGGAAGGUCCGGGCGUUAUCCGGAUUCAUUGGGUUUAAAGGGAGCGUAGGCCGUGGAUUAAGCGUGUUGUGAAAUGUAGGCGCUCAACGUCUGACUUGCAGCGCGAACUGGUCCACUUGAGUGUGUGCGACGCAGGCGGAAUUCGUGGUGUAGCGGUGAAAUGCUUAGAUAUCACGAAGAACCCCGAUUGCGAAGGCAGCCCGCUGUGGCGCCACUGACGCUGAGGCUCGAAGGUGCGGGUAUCGAACAGGAUUAGAUACCCUGGUAGUCCGCACGGUAAACGAUGGAUACCCGCUGUCCGGCCCGUAUGGUCUGGGCGGCCAAGCGAAAGCGUUAAGUAUCCCACCUGGGGAGUACGCCGGCAACGGUGAAACUCAAAGGAAUUGACGGGGGCCCGCACAAGCGGAGGAACAUGUGGUUUAAUUCGAUGAUACGCGAGGAACCUUACCCGGGCUUGAAUUGCAGACGAACGAUUCAGAGAUGAUGAGGCCUUUCGGGGCGUCUGUGAAGGUGCUGCAUGGUUGUCGUCAGCUCGUGCCGUGAGGUGUCGGCUUAAGUGCCAUAACGAGCGCAACCCCUUUCUUCAGUUGCCAUCAGGUAAUGCUGGGCACUCUGGAGACACUGCCACCGCAAGGUGUGAGGAAGGUGGGGAUGACGUCAAAUCAGCACGGCCCUUACGUCCGGGGCUACACACGUGUUACAAUGGCCGGUACAGAGAGUUGAUUUUGUGCAAACACGAUCUAAUCCUUAAAUCCGGUCCCAGUUCGGACUGGGGUCUGCAACCCGACCCCACGAAGCUGGAUUCGCUAGUAAUCGCGCAUCAGCCAUGGCGCGGUGAAUACGUUCCCGGGCCUUGUACACACCGCC
rnacentral:rRNA from 1 species